AGUGAACGCUGGCGGUAGGCCUAACACAUGCAAGUCGAACGGCAGCACAGUAAGAGCUUGCUCUUACGGGUGGCGAGUGGCGGACGGGUGAGGAAUACAUCGGAAUCUACUUUUUCGUGGGGGAUAACGUAGGGAAACUUACGCUAAUACCGCAUACGACCUACGGGUGAAAGCAGGGGAUCUUCGGACCUUGCGCGAUUGAAUGAGCCGAUGUCGGAUUAGCUAGUUGGCGGGGUAAAGGCACACCAAGGCGACGAUCCGUAGCUGGUCUGAGAGGAUGAUCAGCCACACUGGAACUGAGACACGGUCCAGACUCCUACGGGAGGCAGCAGUGGGGAAUAUUGGACAAUGGGCGCAAGCCUGAUCCAGCCAUACCGCGUGGGUGAAGAAGGCCUUCGGGUUGUAAAGCCCUUUUGUUGGGAAAGAAAAGCAGCAGGUUAAUACCCCGCUGUUCUGGCGGUACCCAAAGAAUAAGCACCGGCUAACUUCGUG
rnacentral:rRNA from 1 species